rnacentral:rRNA from 1 species
UACGAAGGGGGCUAGCGUUGCUCGGAAUCACUGGGCGUAAAGCGCACGUAGGCGGCUUCGCAAGUCCCAUGUGAAAGCCCACGGCUUAACCGUGGAAGUGCAUGGGAAACUGCAGAGCUUGAGUACUUAAGAGGAUCGCGGAAUUCCCGGUGUAGAGGUGAAAUUCGUAGAUAUCGGGAGGAACACCAGUGGCGAAGGCGGCGAUCUGGGAAGAUACUGACGCUGAGGUGCGAAAGCGUGGGGAGCAAACAGG